UACGUAGGGCCCAAGCGUUAUCCGGAAUCACUGGGCGUAAAGCGUGCGUAGGCGGACGUUUUAAGUGUGAUGUUAAAUCGUGUGGCUCAACCAUAUCGAUGCAUCGCAUACUGGAUGUCUGGAGGAAGGCAGAGGCAAGUGGAAUUGGCAGUGUAGCGGUAAAAUGCGUAGAUAUUGCCAGGAACACCAAUGGCGAAGGCAGCUUGCUGGGCCUUUUCUGACGCUGAGGCACGAAAGCGUGGGGAGCGAACGAGG
rnacentral:rRNA from 1 species